UACGGAGGUGGCAAGCGUUGUUCGGAAUUACUGGGCGUAAAGGGCGCGUAGGCGGCUAAUCAAGUCAGAUGUGAAAGCCCCGGGCUCAACCCGGGAAUUGCAUCUGAAACUGUUUAGCUUGAGUUCUGGAGGGGGUAGUGGAAUUCCCAGUGUAGCGGUGAAAUGCGUAGAUAUUGGGAGGAACACCUGCGGCGAAGGCGGCUACCUGGACAGUGACUGACGCUGAGGCGCGAAAGCUAGGGGAGCAAAC
rnacentral:rRNA from 1 species